CUCGGCAACGGAUAUCUCGGCUCUCGCAUCGAUGAAGAACGUAGCGAAAUGCGAUACUUGGUGUGAAUUGCAGAAUCCCGCGAAUCAUCGAGUCUUUGAACGCAAGUUGCGCCCGAAGCCAUUCGGCCGAGGGCACGUCUGCCUGGGUGUCACGCAUCGUUGCCC
rnacentral:rRNA from 18 species